rnacentral:lncRNA from 1 species
GUUUUUUUUUUAACAACAUAAUAAUAUUUAUUCAUCUAAUCUUGCUUGUUACAAAUUUCACCAAGAGUCCAAGCUUCUCUUGAUUUACCCUGUUACACUCCACUGAUUAUCCAGGGAAAUAAACAGCUGAUCCAACUUAUUAACUUAUAAAAAUAAUAUAAAGGAUGUAUAGUUGUCUUAUGCAGAGAUUUAUCAAUGCUAAAAAUUCUUUCUAAUUGACAAUAACAUUGGACAUCUUGAUUUAUAUGCAUCUAUUCUUUUAUUAAAUUCAUUUUCAAAAAUACUAAAGAC